UACGAACUGGGCGAACGUUAUUCGGAAUCACUGGGCUUACAGGGUGCGUAGGCGGCGAUAAAAGUCAGGUGUGAAAGCCCCCGGCUCAACCGGGGAAUUGCGCUUGAAACUUUAUUGCUUGAGUGGGCUAGAGGCAUGCGGAACUUCCGGUGGAGCGGUGAAAUGCGUUGAUAUCGGAAGGAACACCAGAGGCGAAAGCGGCAUGCUGGGGCCUGUCUGACGCUGAGGCACGAAAGCCAGGGGAGCAAACGGG
rnacentral:rRNA from 1 species